UACGUAGGGACCAAGCGUUGUCCGGAAUCAUUGGGCGUAAAGAGCGUGUAGGCGGCUUGUUAAGUCUUGCGUGAAAUCUCGGGGCUCAACCCCGAGCGGUCGUGAGAAACUGGCAGGCUAGAGUGCGGGAGAGGAGAGUGGAAUUCCUGGUGUAGCGGUGAAAUGCGCAGAUAUCAGGAAGAACACCCGUGGCGAAGGCGGGUCUCUGGGCAACAACUGACGCUGAGGAGCGAAAGCGUGGGGAGCGAACAGG
rnacentral:rRNA from 1 species